rnacentral:ncRNA from 2 species
AUCAAUCUUCGGGGCAGGGUGAGAUUCCCGACCGGCGGUGAUGGAAAUAAUUUUUCAAAGUCCGCGAGCCUUUAUUAUUGGGCAGGAUCUGGUGUGAAUCCAGAACCGACAGUAUAGUCUGGAUGAGAGAAGAUGGAG